rnacentral:rRNA from 1 species
UUGAACCCUGGGUAUCUUUAACGUGGUCCAAUCCGGUUGGGAAUUUCACACUUGUGUGUUACCUGGUCCUACUACUAAGGGGUAUAACCUCUGGAAUCGGGAGUAUUAAUUACCCUAGUAAAGUCUAAGUCAGCCCAUGCUGGGAAGUCCCAAAGGAUUUUAUCGGUGUAAGAUGGACUUGCGUCUUGAUUAGCUAAUUGGUGAGAUAAAAGCUCACCAAGGCGACGAUCAGUAGCCCGGGCUUGAGAGAGUGUACGGCCACAUUGGGACUGAGACACGGCCCAAACUCCUACGGGAGGCAGCAUGGGGAAUUUUGCACAAUGGGGGAAACCCUGAUGCAGCGACGCCGCGUGAUUUAGAAGGCCUUCGGCUUNGUAAAAAUCUUUUUUACGGGAUGAAAAUGACAGUACCGUAAGAAUCAGGUCCGGCUAAAUACGUGCCAGCAGCCGCGGUAAUACGUAUGGACCGAGCGUUGUCCGGAAUCAUUGGGCGUAAAGGGUACGUAGGCGGCCUAGUAAGUUAGAAGUUAAAGAAUAUAGCUCAACUAUAUAAAGCUUUUAAAACUGCUAGGCUUGAGAGAUGGAAGGGAAAGUGGAAUUCCUAGUGUAGCGGUGAAAUGCGCAGAUAUUAGGAAGAAUACCGGUGGCGAAGGCGACUUUCUGGUCAUCAUCUGACGCUGAGGUACGAAAGCGUGGGUAGCAAACAGGAUUAGAUACCCUGGUAGUCCACGCUGUAAACGAUGAGUGUUAGGUUCUUGGAAUAAUCUGGGAGCCUGCAGCUUACGCAUUAUACACUCCGCCUGGGGAGUACGUCU